AUUGAACGCUGGCGGCAGGCCUAACACAUGCAAGUCGAACGGUAACAGGAAGAAGCUUGCUUCUUUGCUGACGAGUGGCGGACGGGUGAGUAAUGUCUGGGAAACUGCCUGAUGGAGGGGGAUAACUACUGGAAACGGUAGCUAAUACCGCAUAACGUCGCAAGACCAAAGAGGGGGACCUUCGGGCCUCUUGCGAUCGGAUGUGCCCAGAUGGGAUUAGCUAGUAGGUGGGGUAACGGCUCACCUAGGCGACGAUCCCUAGCUGGUCUGAGAGGAUGACCAGCCACACUGGAACUGAGACACGGUCCAGACUCCUACGGGAGGCAGCAGUGGGGAAUAUUGCACAAUGGGCGCAAGCCUGAUGCAGCCAUGCCGCGUGUAUGAAGAAGGCCUUCGGGUUGUAAAGUACUUUCAGCGGGGAGGAAGGGAGUAAAGUUAAUACCUUUACUCAUUGACGUACCCGCAGAAGAAGCACCGGCUAACUCCGUG
rnacentral:rRNA from 1 species